GAGACUCGGUGGUGUGUGUACGUCACGUCAGUUCGCUCCCGUGUGUGUAAAAGUGAAUUUUUAAAAGAAACGAAAAUAAAAACAAAAAUUAAAAGAAUGAAUGAAAAUAAUGAAAAAUAACUAUAAAAACGAUGAAUAACUUAAAUAAAUAAUGGAAUAAAGAAAGCGAUAGAAAGAUAGAUAAAAAGUUAACAGAAAACGCGAGGCAAUGACUUUGAAGACUGAAAAUAAACAAACCGUGAAAAGUUUAAACAUGAAUAGAAAGUGAAGUGAAAUUAAAGGCAAACUCAGUGAAAGUGAAGAAGCUGAUAAAUACUGAUGAAUGAUUACUUAGAAAACGAAAGGAAUUGUAAAGGAAAACUCAAGAAAAUACCAAAGAAUGAAGAAGAAAAACUAUUGAAAGAUUGUAAAGGAAAACUCGAGAAUGAAGAAAAACUAUUAAAAGGAUUGUGAAGGAAAACUCGAGAAUGAAGAAAAUGAAGAAAAACUAUUAAAAGAUUGUAAAGGAAAAC